rnacentral:tmRNA from 2 species
GGGGCUGCCCGGUUUUGACAGCAUCGAUCUUUGAAGGUGUAAGCAUGCAGUGCUUUGGGUAAUCGGCACUUUAAUCUCGAAGACUCAAACUUUAAAUGGCAAUACUCAGUAUGCCAUGGCUGCCUAAUCAGUGAUUAGAUAGUCAUUCGGGCCGCCCGGCAGGUUAGCCUAUUACCAUGCCCCGCCGCCGACUCAAAACAAACAUAGGAUGCUGCUGCAGAAGGCUGUGACUGCCGCUUAAGACCAUCCAGCUAAGGAGACGAUUGGUUUGUCCGGUUCCUGCCGCCUCCCGACAAUCAAUGCCGGAAUAAGCAUGUAGAAAGCUUUUGGGGAUGAUGUUUGGACAGGGGUUCGACUCCCCUCAGCUCCACUU